rnacentral:misc_RNA from 1 species
UAAAGAUUCUGCCAUAGCUGCUUGUGUUAGCCGCCAAUUCAGGUCCUCAGCGUCCGAAGAUUCUCUAUGGGAGAAAUUUUGCAACCAGGACCUCAACCUCACCGACCCAAUUGAUUAUUUGGGGAACCCAAUUCCUUCAUUCAAGGAGACGUAUCGAGCAUGGCGCAGAGCUUUUAGGAUGUAUCCUUGGCCUCUGGUCAAGCGAAUUAAGGGAUGUUGGGAUAGACUCAAAAACUGGUUGAGUACUAAUUUUCCUGAGGCUCUGGUGACACUGCGGAAAGGUGCAUCAG